UACGUAGGGGGCGAGCGUUGUCCGGAAUUAUUGGGCGUAAAGAGCGUGUAGGCGGUUCGGUAAGUCUGCCGUGAAAACCUGGGGCUCAACCCCGGGCGUGCGGUGGAUACUGCCGGGCUAGAGGGUGGUAGAGGCGAGUGGAAUUCCCGGUGUAGCGGUGAAAUGCGCAGAUAUCGGGGAGGAACACCAGUAGCGAAGGCGGCUCGCUGGGCCAUUCCUGACGCUGAGACGCGAAAGCUAGGGGAGCGAACAGG
rnacentral:rRNA from 1 species